rnacentral:rRNA from 1 species
AUUGAACGCUGGCGGCAGGCCUAACACAUGCAAGUCGAGCGAGCGGCGGACGGGUGGGCAAUGUAGGGGGAUCUGCCCGAUAGAGGGGGAUAAGUACUGGAAAAGGUGGCUAAUACCGCAUACUAUCGGAUGAACCCAUGUGGGAUUAGCUAGUAGGUGGGGUAAAGGCUCACCUAGGCGACGAUCUCUAGCAGGUCUGAGAGGAUGAUCAGCCACACUGGGACUGAGACACGGCCCAGACUCCGACGGGAGGCAGCAGUGGGGAAUAUUGCACAAUGGGCGCAAGCCUGAUGCAGCCAUGCCGCGUGUAUGAAGAAGGCUUUAGGGUUGUAAAGUACUUUCAGCGGGGAGGCGUUACCCGCAGAAGAAGCAACGGCUAACUCCGUGCCAGCAGCCGCGGUAAUUC